CUGUGAGCUCGAUGAGUAGGGCGGGACACGUGGUAUCCUGUCUGAAUAUGGGGGGACCAUCCUCCAAGGCUAAAUACUCCUGACUGACCGAUAGUGAACCAGUACCGUGAGGGAAAGGCGAAAAGAACCCCGGCGAGGGGAGUGAAAAAGAACCUGAAACCGUGUACGUACAAGCAGUGGGAGCCUCUUAAUGGGGUGACUGCGUACCUUUUGUAUAAUGGGUCAGCGACUUAUAUUCUGUAGCAAGGUUAACCGAAUAGGGGAGCCGAAGGGAAACCGAGUCUUAACUGGGCGUUAAGUUGCAGGGUAUAGACCCGAAACCCGGUGAUCUAGCCAUGGGCAGGUUGAAGGUUGGGUAACACUAACUGGAGGACCGAACCGACUAAUGUUGAAAAAUUAGCGGAUGACUUGUGGCUGGGGGUGAAAGGCCAAUCAAACCGGGAGAUAGCUGGUUCUCCCCGAAAGCUAUUUAGGUAGCGCCUCGUGAAUUCAUCUCCGGGGGUAGAGCACUGUUUCGGCAAGGGGGUCAUCCCGACUUACCAACCCGAUGCAAACUGCGAAUACCGGAGAAUGUUAUCACGGGAGACACACGGCGGGUGCUAACGUCCGUCGUGAAGAGGGAAACAACCCAGACCGCCAGCUAAGGUCCCAAAGUCAUGGUUAAGUGGGAAACGAUGUGGGAAGGCCCAGACAGCCAGGAUGUUGGCUUAGAAGCAGCCAUCAUUUAAAGAAAGCGUAAUAGCUCACUGGUCGAGUCGGCCUGCGCGGAAGAUGUAACGGGGCUAAACCAUGCACCGAAGCUGCGGCAGCGACACUAUGUGUUGUUGGGUAGGGGAGCGUUCUGUAAGCCUGUGAAGGUGUGCUGUGAGGCAUGCUGGAGGUAUCAGAAGUGCGAAUGCUGACAUAAGUAACGAUAAAGCGGGUGAAAAGCCCGCUCGCCGGAAGACCAAGGGUUCCUGUCCAACGUUAAUCGGGGCAGGGUGAGUCGACCCCUAAGGCGAGGCCGAAAGGCGUAGUCGAUGGGAAACAGGUUAAUAUUCCUGUACUUGGUGUUACUGCGAAGGGGGGACGGAGAAGGCUAUGUUGGCCGGGCGACGGUUGUCCCGGUUUAAGCGUGUAGGCUGGUUUUCCAGGCAAAUCCGGAAAACCAAGGCUGAGGCGUGAUGACGAGGCACUACGGUGCUGAAGCGACAAAUGCCCUGCUUCCAGGAAAAGCCUCUAAGCAUCAGGUAACAUCAAAUCGUACCCCAAACCGACACAGGUGGUCAGGUAGAGAAUACCAAGGCGCUUGAGAGAACUCGGGUGAAGGAACUAGGCAAAAUGGUGCCGUAACUUCGGGAGAAGGCACGCUGAUAUGUAGGUGAAGCGACUUGCUCGUGGAGCUGAAAUCAGUCGAAGAUACCAGCUGGCUGCAACUGUUUAUUAAAAACACAGCACUGUGCAAACACGAAAGUGGACGUAUACGGUGUGACGCCUGCCCGGUGCCGGAAGGUUAAUUGAUGGGGUUAGCGGUAACGCGAAGCUCUUGAUCGAAGCCCCGGUAAACGGCGGCCGUAACUAUAACGGUCCUAAGGUAGCGAAAUUCCUUGUCGGGUAAGUUCCGACCUGCACGAAUGGCGUAAUGAUGGCCAGGCUGUCUCCACCCGAGACUCAGUGAAAUUGAACUCGCUGUGAAGAUGCAGUGUACCCGCGGCAAGACGGAAAGACCCCGUGAACCUUUACUAUAGCUUGACACUGAACAUUGAGCCUUGAUGUGUAGGAUAGGUGGGAGGCUUUGAAGUGUGGACGCCAGUCUGCAUGGAGCCGACCUUGAAAUACCACCCUUUAAUGUUUGAUGUUCUAACGUUGGCCCGUAAUCCGGGUUGCGGACAGUGUCUGGUGGGUAGUUUGACUGGGGCGGUCUCCUCCUAAAGAGUAACGGAGGAGCACGAAGGUUGGCUAAUCCUGGUCGGACAUCAGGAGGUUAGUGCAAUGGCAUAAGCCAGCUUGACUGCGAGCGUGACGGCGCGAGCAGGUGCGAAAGCAGGUCAUAGUGAUCCGGUGGUUCUGAAUGGAAGGGCCAUCGCUCAACGGAUAAAAGGUACUCCGGGGAUAACAGGCUGAUACCGCCCAAGAGUUCAUAUCGACGGCGGUGUUUGGCACCUCGAUGUCGGCUCAUCACAUCCUGGGGCUGAAGUAGGUCCCAAGGGUAUGGCUGUUCGCCAUUUAAAGUGGUACGCGAGCUGGGUUUAGAACGUCGUGAGACAGUUCGGUCCCUAUCUGCCGUGGGCGCUGGAGAACUGAGGGGGGCUGCUCCUAGUACGAGAGGACCGGAGUGGACGCAUCACUGGUGUUCGGGUUGUCAUGCCAAUGGCACUGCCCGGUAGCUAAAUGCGGAAGAGAUAAGUGCUGAAAGCAUCUAAGCACGAAACUUGCCCCGAGAUGAGUUCUCCCUGAGACUUAGAGUCUCCUGAAGGAACGUUGAAGACGACGACGUUGAUAGGCCGGGUGUGUAAGCGCAGCGAUGCGUUGAGCUAACCGGUACUAAUGAACCGUGAGGCUUAACCUUACAACGCCGAAG
rnacentral:rRNA from 1 species